GCAAGUCGAGCGGUAGAGAGAAGCUUGCUUCUCUUGAGAGCGGCGGACGGGUGAGUAAUGCCUAGGAAUCUGCCUGGUAGUGGGGGAUAACGUUCGGAAACGGACGCUAAUACCGCAUACGUCCUACGGGAGAAAGCAGGGGACCUUCGGGCCUUGCGCUAUCAGAUGAGCCUAGGUCGGAUUAGCUAGUUGGUGAGGUAAUGGCUCACCAAGGCGACGAUCCGUAACUGGUCUGAGAGGAUGAUCAGUCACACUGGAACUGAGACACGGUCCAGACUCCUACGGGAGGCAGCAGUGGGGAAUAUUGGACAAUGGGCGAAAGCCUGAUCCAGCCAUGCCGCGUGUGUGAAGAAGGUCUUCGGAUUGUAAAGCACUUUAAGUUGGGAGGAAGGGUUGUAGAUUAAUACUCUGCAAUUUUGACGUUACCGACAGAAUAAGCACCGGCUAACUCUGUGCCAGCAGCCGCGGUAAUACAGAGGGUGCAAGCGUUAAUCGGAAUUACUGGGCGUAAAGCGCGCGUAGGUGGUUUGUUAAGUUGGAUGUGAAAUCCCCGGGCUCAACCUGGGAACUGCAUUCAAAACUGACUGACUAGAGUAUGGUAGAGGGUGGUGGAAUUUCCUGUGU
rnacentral:rRNA from 1 species